rnacentral:rRNA from 1 species
GCCCCCCUCAAGAUGAGAUUUCCCAACUUCGGUUAUAAGAUCCCUCAAAGAUGAUGAGGUUAAUAGGUUCGAGGUGGAAGCAUGGUGACAUGUGGAGCUGACGAAUACUAAUCGAUCGAAGACUUAAUCAA